UCCAGGGUACUGGUUAGUUCAUAAUGUUUUUCCACCUAUAGGGUUGCAGAUCCCUUUAGCUCCUUGGGUACUUUCUCUAGCUCCUCCAUUGGGGGCCCUGUGAUCCAUCCAAUAGCUGACUGUGGGCAUCCACUUCUGUGUUUGCUAGGCCCCAGCAUAGCCUCACAAGACACAGCUAUAUCAGGGUUCUUUCAGCAAACUCUUGCUAGUGUAUGCAAUGGUAUAAGAUUCAUUUAAUGAGGUAGGAGUGGUUGCAAUCUUAUCACUGAGAUGUGCAGGCACCAUGGUGACGAGUUUAAGGUCAUCCUCUAUAAGGAAGUUAAAACUAGCCUGGGCUACUAGAAAUUCUGUUCCAAUAAACAAACCUACCUACCUAUUUAGCAGGUGUAGUGGCUUGUGCAUGUAACCCCUACCCUCAGGAAGCAGAGGCAGUCUGAUUGGUACAAGUUCAAAGCCAGACAAGGCUACAUAGCAAGACCUCAUCGUAACAAGAAAAGAAAAGACUAAGAUAACAAAAUUGCCAAUAAAUACUGUAUCCAAGAGUGGUACAUGGAGCCAUAUGGUGAUGGCAGUAUAUGCUUUUAAUCCCAGCACUCAGGAGGCAGAGGCAAGAGGAGCUCUGUGAGUUCAAGACUAGCCUGGUCUACAACACAAGUUUCAGGACAACUAGGACUAUUACACAGAGAGACCCUGUUUCAAAACAACAACAAAAAAGAGUGGUGACAUGGACCCAUGACCCUUUUUAAAAAAAGAUUUAUCUAUUUAUUAUAUGUGAGUACACUGUAGCUGUCUUCAGACACACCAGAAGAGGGCAUCAGAUCCCAUUACAGAUGGUUGUGAGCCACCAUGUGGUUGCUGGGAUUUGAACUCAGGACUCUCGGAAGAGCAGUCAGUGCUCUUAGCCGAUGAGCCAUCUCUCCAACCCCAACCAUAACCCUUUUAAAAAUGUACUUAUUACAUGCAUAAGUGUCUUGUCUCAUGUGUAUCUGUAUGUCACAUGCAUACCUAGUGCUCCUGGAGGUCAGAAGAGAAUAUGAGAUCCUCUGGAACUCAAGUUACAGACCAUUGUGAGCUGCCAUGUGGGUGCUGAGACUCAAACUGGUCCUCUGUGAAAAUAACAUAUUCCCUUAACCACCUAACCAUCUUGACAGGUACAAGGGACUGCUCUUUUCUUUUUCUUUUUUCUAAAGAUUUAUUUAUUUAUUAUAUGUAAGUACACUGUAGCUGUCCUCAGACACUCCAGAAGAGGGAGUCAGAUCUCAUUAUGGAUGGUUGUGAGCCAUCAUGUGGUUGCUGGGAUUUGAACUCCUGACCUUCGGAAGAGCAGUCAGGUGCUCUUACCCACUGAGCCAUCUCACCAGCCCGAUUGCUCUUUUCUUAAGGAGACAGGCUUGUGAUGGCCAGGAUGGCCUUAAGAUUUGAGUUUAGCUGCUUUGCAGCACUCUCACCUGGGACUACCAGUGUGUACUAUUAUGUCUGGAUUAAAAUAAAGCAUGGUCUAGACUAAGUAGCUGCUGAGGAGAAUGGAAGGAAUGUGGAUGAACUUGAGAGAAAGCUCCGUAGGUGGAAGUGAAGAACUAAUAGAACUAAUGUGGUCUUCUCUGUUCUUUUCUACAUAAGACCUUUGUGUGUGUGUGUGUGUGUGUGUGUGUGUGUGUGUGUGUGUGUGUGUGUGUGUGUGCAGUUUAGGCAAGCUUGGAUGUGAGAAAUGGGAGACCCCUCUAGAGCUGGAGUUCCAGGCAGUUAUGGUCCACCUGUUGUGGGUCCUGGGAAUCGAUCUUACAUCCACUCAAGAUCAGCAGGCGCUCUUAAUGGUUGAGCCAUCACUGCAGCCCUCUCCUCUGUUCUUGAACACGGCACAGUUCAGUCUCUAGCAUCUCUGUACUAUCCGUUCCUCCUGUCUAGAAUAAUUUCUGUCCCGAUUUCAGAUGACCUCUCAUGAUAAGGAAUUAGUUAAGUUGAGAACUGGCCAAUAAAAGGAAAGAAUCCACCAUUAACCUAUCUUUCCCAGGG
rnacentral:lncRNA from 1 species